rnacentral:rRNA from 1 species
GACGAACGCUGGCGGCGUGCCUAACACAUGCAAGUCGAGCGGUAAAAGGUGGUAGUUGUCCCAACUGGUGGAGCAUCGCACGGGGGAGUAAAGCGUGGGGGAUCUGCCUUGGAGCGGGGGACAAAAUUCUGAAAAGAGUGCUAAUACCCCAUAAAAGCUUUAAACACAAGGUUGAAGAUUGAAAGACGCAAUUGCAUCACUCAUAGAUGAUCCCGCGUUGUAUUAGCGAGGUGGUGAGGUAAACGCUCACCAAGGCGAUGAUACAUAGCCAACCUGAGAGGGUGGUCGGCCAAAUUGGGACUGAGACACGGCCCAAACUCCCAAGGGGGGACGCCGUAGGGAAACUUUGGCAAUGGACGAAAGGCCGAACGCGCAACGCCGCGUGAGUGAAGAAGGGUUUCGGAUCGGAAAACUAUGUUGGUAGAGAAGAAAGUUGGUGAGAGUGGAACGCUCAUCAAGUGACGGUACCUACCCAGAAAGCGACGGCUAACUACGUG